UCCCUGGGAUAGGGCUCUGCCUCCCUUGGUGGGGAGCAGUAGCAGUGCUGCUGGCUCCUCUCUGGGAGGUGUCAGUGCUCUGUCUGCACAGGUCUGGGGGGAGACAUCCUGUUCUCAGGGAGGGAAGUGUCUCAUCCCACACAAGGACCCCAGUUCUGUUCCUCUUUCCUAGGAGACAGGAGACAACACCCCAUUGCUCCUUGGCCCCCGCCGCCCAGCAGGCCUCGUUGCAUCAGCCACGGGCCGGGGGUGCCCGCUCUUGACAGCAGCAGGACAAGGCUCCCAGCCCUCCGCCCGCCCUCUCCCCUCCCCCCAGCCCCACCCUGGCUUCCCGGCUGCGCACCUGCUGCAGCCCCUGCCGCCGCCGCCGACCUCCUGAGCUGUCACCGCUGGGUAGGGUACGGGACACCCUCGCCCUGGCCGGCUGGGGACUACAUUUCCCAGCAGCCCCUGCACCACAGGCUGGCCAGCUAGCCUGCAAGUCCCAGCAUGCCCGCACCGAUCACACCAAUCAGGGGGCGCUGGUGGAGGGUGGGGGGGCCCUUCCCCACCCCCAUUAACUCCUUAGGUCCUGGGCGACCCUGGGCUCUCAGUUCCGGGAAGGGUUUCAGGACUGCUCCAUCCUCCACCCCGGCUCCCCAGUCCUGGGGCCAGGACGCCCCGCCCGGCGCCCCAAGGUGGACGGCCACGUCUGCCUUAAGGGGAAAAAGAAUGCAUUUUCGUUUUCUCCUCCAUCCCAUCCUCAACUCCUCCGGUCCCCGCUGGCCCACUCUGGCCUCCCCUGGAGCCCUUCCUCCCCCACAGGACUACCUUAAGGGAGAACAGCACCUUGAAGAACCACCGCCUGGGUUUCCCAGGUGGAGAAACUGAGGAUCGGAGAGGUUAAAACCAGGCCGAGGCCCUGCAGCUAGCGGGUGGCAAAACGGGACUCAGCUGCUCCAGCUUCCGAGCACUGACCCCUUGCCACACACCCGCCGCCCUUCCUGCCUUCCCCGGGCGAACCCCAGCCUCUCCUUGGGAUUGGGGCUGAGGCCCUGCCCCCUUGGAGCACACCAAGCUCAGGCCCAGGAGGGAGAAGUGAGGAUCCUGGAAGCUGGGCUGUGGACUUGGCAGGCAGGAAGAGAACGGCGGGCACUUCGAGGAAGGACAGCAUCUCAGUCUUCAGAGCACUCCAAGGGCUCACCUCGCCCAAGCCCAAGCCCUCAGGGCGCAUGGUCACAGCUUUCUGCCCUUCGAAGCAGUCACCACGUCGGCAGGAGAAGAUGACACAGAUUUUCCCCUGCAAGAGAAAGUGGGGGGAAGGCUGAGGGUGGGGGGGACUGUGUUCAGACUGAACGACUGAACAGGGAGUGAAUGCUGGCCAGGAGUGAGCCUGGGGCCUCCUGUGUGGGUCCCGGUGGCCCUACCCUAGCCCCUGCGUGCACUCGGUUCGUGUCUGCCUCCCAGAGCCCGCGCAUAUGAAGGAGACGUGUUUCUCCUGAGGGCUGGCAGGGUGGCGGUCACCAGGAGGGUAGUGGGAAGCAGCUUGUCCUCUGGGAUGGUCGGGGCCUAGGCCUGGGAACACAACAGGGCUGCCCAGGGGAG